CCUACGGGAGGCUGCAGUAGGGAAUCUUCCGCAAUGGACGCAAGUCUGACGGAGCAACGCCGCGUGAGUGAAGAAGGUUUUCGGAUCGUAAAACUCUGUUGUUAGAGAAGAACAAGUGCUAGAGUAACUGUUAGCGCCUUGACGGUAUCUAACCAGAAAGCCACGGCUAACUACGUGCCAGCAGCCGCGGUAAUACGUAGGGGGCAAGCGUUGUCCGGAUUUAUUGGGCGUAAAGCGAGCGCAGGCGGUUCCUUAAGUCUGAUGUGAAAGCCCCCGGCUCAACCGGGGAGGGUCAUUGGAAGCUGGGGAACUUGAGUGCAGAGGAGGAGAGUGGAAUUCCAUGUGUAGCGGUGAAAUGCGUAGAUAUAUGGAGGAUCACCAGUGGCGAAGGCGACUCUCUGGUCUGUAACUGACGCUGAGGCUCGACAGCGUGGGUAGCAAACAGGAUUAGAUACCCGUGUAGUC
rnacentral:rRNA from 1 species